UUUGAUGACCCCCUUCCCCCAGAUAAUAACACACGUCUGCUUCUGCGAUUCCGGGCUGAUAGUUAAACUUAUUCAACCGGGGAUGACAAUAGUCCAGUUUGCAUCUUGCGACUACUUCCUUCAUGUCACAUACCCAAAUGCCAAAUACAUUGCACACUGCCUCAGAAAACUGAGGCAUCAGAUGCGCAAUUCAACAAAUAAUGUCCCCUAAGCCGAAAUAUUGGAAAUUCGAAAUAACAAUAAACUAAAAGUAAAACAGAGUGCCAAAGACUGGAGUCUAAUCCAUCUAAGAAUCAGAGCUAUGCAUGAGGGAGAUACUCCUUGAUUUUGAAAUGAAUUUCUAAAUUUUAUCACAGCAAUUAAUAUACAUCCGUAUUUUGAAGCUAGUAACGAAGUAAAUAACUACUGGCCUGUAGAGACCCUCGGGGACUAAUAGUCCACGAGUAGAGGCAUCGACCCAGGGGUCGUAAUGUAAAACUUAUAUGGUACCAAUUUUGAUGCACCAGAUGCACAUUUCGACAAAUAAUGUCUCUUCUGUAAUACUCAAGCCGAAAUAUUGGAAAUCCGAAAUAACAAUAAACUUGUAAGAACUAAAAAGAAAAACAGAGUGCUAAGGACAGGAGUCUAAGAAUCAGAGCUAUGAAUGAGGGAGAUAAUCCUUGAAUUUGAAAUGAAUUUCUAAAUUUUAUCACAGCAAUUAAAUAUACAAAGUACUGUACAUCCUAAGAUAACGCACAGUGAUCAAUCUCAUAACUCGUAUAAGCAAUACAAAAUAAAUAGUUGGGCAAACACUGACCCCUGGACACACCAGAAGUGAGGUGAGGUGCCUAGGAGGAGUAAAUAUCACGAGUCGACCGGUCACACCCGUCUGGAGCCCCAUAUCCUGAUCAGGUAAACGGAGUUAUCCGUAGUCAAAAUCAGUGUGCCAAGAACGGCCUAACAAUCGAUAUGCAACAUGUCAGACAGCAUUUUGACUCAAUGAUGGGUUGUUUUGACGAACUAGAUUGUUAUAACGAAUUUGCGAAAUGCUGACUUCAAUCGAGACUGUUGAAACUCCUGUACCAUCAACUUGUUUGUCAGUAGUUUGCCUCGAUUUAAAAUCUGACUAUAUACGCAGAACAAAUUCUUGCGUAUCGAAUCAGUUGAGAGAUAUAAACACCAUAUGCAGGUGAUAAUGGAAUAUUGCUACAUGAAUAAUGGAAGUUGACAAUGGAGAAGCUGAAAUCAUCCCGUUUGUCAUACAGUUGAGUUGUCAGUUUGCCUUUAACGUAGAAAUAAACAGAUAAAAUGAAGUGUGAGGUAAGAAACAGUCAGUACUUAUAGUUCAUUUGAUUAUGACGUUUUUGAUCUGUAAUAUCUGCAGGACAAGCCCGUGAUUGGGAAAAAUUACACUUUUGCUAUGCUAACCGGUGACUUCCAGAUUUCUUUUGGGGAAACGGCUGAUUGUGGUGGAGAGAAAGCUGUUCAAAUUGCCAUUACUUUGGGAAUGCCGUAAUCAAUACUCGAUGGACAGGGGAGAUUUUAGAUCAGAAUGUAAGACCACACAUCCAGGAUUUUGAUAUAGUGGUUGUAUCGGGUGUAGUAUUUGGCUGGGCGACUGCAAUACGACAUUUUCAACGAUCCAUGGAUGUACCUGAAAUAUCGUUCCAGUGUAGGGUGGUGUGGAAGAUGUGGAUCAUCAUACGAACCGAUGAAACUUCGUUUGUCACCUGAAAUCGGAAGAGUGUGUGCUUCUCCCCGGCAUUCCUGUUGGGACAUCGGUUGAGUUUGGCAAAGACGUUGUUGAUUUGUUAACCAUUGCUAAAUGAUUCGUGAUUCCGGUAGGUUUCCUAAUUGGAGAUGAAGUCGAUGCUCUGCU